rnacentral:rRNA from 1 species
CAGUCGCCACGGUAAUACGUAGGGUGCGAGCGUUAAUCGGAAUUACUGGGCGUAAAGCGUGCGCAGGCGGUUGUGUAAGACAGGUGUGAAAUCCCCGGGCUUAACCUGGGAACUGCGCUUGUGACUGCACAGCUAGAGUAUGGCAGAGGGUGGUGGAAUUCCACGUGUAGCAGUGAAAUGCGUAGAGAUGUGGAGGAACACCGAUGGCGAAGGCAGCCACCUGGGCCAAUACUGACGCUCAUGCGCGAAAGCGUGGGGAGCAAACAGGAUUAGAUACCCGUGUAGUCCCUGUCUCUUAUAC